CGCCUACCUGGCCCCGCCCGCACACCACUCCCAGCAGAAGAGGAACAGGACGAGGAAGACACGACUGUUACUUUUUCAAAACAACGAAAAAGAGAAAGUCGAAUCAACAUUAUAUUAGUUUUGGUGGAAAACAAAUAAAACCCAGCAGACCGAGGCGGAGACUACAGGACCAAAGCAGGAUUUCCAGGCAAGAGUGCUACAUGCAACUGAACUGAAUCAAGAUCAAGAUGAAGGCCUUGAAGUAAACAAUGGCCAUUAACAGUGCUUCCUCCAGCUGGACAGGUCCCUCUACCACCACCCCCUCAAGAUCUACCUGCAGGACGUACGUAGAGACCCCCCCUGAAACUGAUAUCCUGACGGCCGAGCUGUACGCCAGGCCCUCGCUCACCACACCACCCAAAAUCUAAUUGGACUUUGACAGCACCCACAGCACUAGCAGGGGGAAGGCUGUCGUCUACACCGACUCCCUCUCGUCAGUCGUCACUCCACCUCCUCCUCUCCCGCCACCCAGCAUCCUCAAUGGCCCUGGCCCACACCAUCCAGCGGGCCCUCCUCCACCUAGCAUCCGAGAGCUGGGAGGUCACCCUGCGGGCAGUGGGUGCCCACUGCCCUCACACUCAGGCAUAAGAGGCAACGGCAUCGCCGACGCCGCGGUCAGGAUGGCCCUUGCGGAGGUAACCAUCGCGCCGCGCCCCCUGGCUGACACUCUCCACGGCCACACGCCUCCUCUCCCGCACCUGCCGCGCCUCAUGGGACGACACGCUCGCCCACACCCUCCGCACCACCUCUAUGGGCCAGUACCGCACCAACUCCUCCCCACAGCCGUGGGUGAGGAAAACGUCCCGCGUUCUAGACGUGGCCUUGACGCGCCUCCGCCUGAGCCAGCUGGGCCACAACAGUGCUCACCUGAGACCCACCUCCACCGCUUGGCCUGGGCCCCGACCCUCAUUGCCCCUGGUGCAGGACCGUCGAGGACACCAUUGAGCACCUCCUGCUGCACUGCCCACGCCACCAUUCCCAGCGAGUGCUGCCACAACACCAACUCCGCGCCCUGGAGGUGCCUACCUUUGACCUGCCCACGCUGCUGGCGGCGGCAGGCGUCCACCCCUCACGACAGGAACCUGUCAUCCGCCUCGCCUGUGCCUUCAUCAGAAAGACGGGGCAGUUGACGCGCCUGUGAAGCCCUCACAGGACGACACGCUAAUGUGAGCGACUAGAUCGCCGCGGCCCGAAACAACAACAACAUUAACAGUGCCGCUCUUCUCCAUACUCCCCGAGCCAUGCCAGUGCUGAUGCAGAAGUGGGGGUCUGAGGCGGUGUUGUGCUCAGUGCUCCCUGUGUCCUUGCUGCCGCUGACUUCUGAUACAGUGGGGGCUGCAAGGCUGGGCAGCAGCCUGAGUGGCCGGGACCAGCAGGAGCAGACUGUCUGGUGUGAGCAUCAGGGGUGAUCAGGAGAGCCACCUCACCACCAACACCACCAACACCUUGCUGCACUCAUUUCAACCCGUAAAGGAAAUUAAAGUUUGAGUGCAAGAAGACUAGAGACGGAGAGCAAGUCCACUAGACACAGCCUUGCACACACUGGUGAAGAAAACCAUGAGUGCCAAGAAUGUGGGAAAAGACUCCCUGGGAAGGGAGACCUCACCAAGUACACCCACACACUCUGGAGGAAGACUUCAUGAAUGCCAUGAGUGGGGCCAAAAGUUCAUUCAGAAAAGUAACCUCAACACACACACCCUUACACACACUGGUGAAAGUCCUCAUGAAUGCCAUGUGUGUGACAAAAAGUUCAGAAAGAAGAGUAACCUCAAUGCACACCUCCUUACACACACUGAUGAAAGACCUCAUGAAUGCCAUAUUUGUGACAAAAAGUUCACUCAGAAGAGUAACCUCAACACACACAUCCUUAGACACACUGGUGAAAAACCUCAUGAAUGCCAUGAGUGUGGCAAAAAGUACACUCAGAAGCGUGACCUCAACAGACACAUACUUACACACAAUGGAGAAAGACCUCAUGAAUGCCAUGAGUGUGGCAAGAAGUUCAGUAAUAAGAGUGCCCUCGACACACACACCCUUACACACACUGAUGAAAGACCUAAUGAAUGCCAUGAGUGUGGCAAAAAGUUCACUCAGAAAAGUACCCUCAAUACACACAUCCUUACACACACUGGUGAAAGACCUCAUGAAUGCCAUGAGUGUGGCAAAAAGUUCACUCAGAAAAGUACCCUCAACACACACAUUCUUUCACACACUGAUGAAAGACCUCAUGAAUGCCAUGAGUGUGGCAAAAAGUUCAGCAGGAUGAGUACCCUCAACACACACAUCCUUACACACGCUAGUGAAAGACCUCAUGAAUGCCAAGAGUGUGGCAAAGAGUUCAGUAAGGAGAGUGACCUCAACAGACACACCCUUACACACACUGGUGAAAGACCUCAUGAAUGCCAUGAGUGUGGCAAAAAGUUCAGGAAGAAGGGUAACCUCAACACACACAUCCUAACACACACUGGUGAAAGUCCUCAUGUAUGCCAUGUGUGUGACAAAAAGUUCAGGAAGAAGGGUAACCUCAAUGCACACCUCCUUACACACACUGAUGAAAGACCUCAUGAAUGCCAUAUUUGUGGCAAAAAGUUCGUUCAGAAGAGUAACCUCAACACACACAUCCUAACACACAAUGAUAAAAGACCUCAUGAAUGCCAUGAGUGUGGCAAAAAGUUCACUCAGAAGAGUAACCUCAACACACACAUCCUUACACACACUGGUGAAAGACCUCAUGAAUGCCAUGAGUGUGGCAAAAAGUACACUCAGAAGCGUGACCUGAACACACACAUGCUUACACACACUGGCGAAAGACCUCAUGAAUGCCAUAAGUGUGGCAAGAAGUUUAGUAAGAAGAGUACCCUCAACUCACACACCCUUACACACACUGAUGAAAGAAAUCUUGAAUGCCAUGAGUGUGGCAAAAAGUUCAGGAAGAAGGAUAACCUCAACACACAUAUCCUUACACACACUGAUGAAAGACCUCAUGAAUGCCACGAGUGUGGCAAGAAGUUCAGUAAGAAGCAUCACCUCAACACACAUACCCUUACACACACUGGUGAAAGAGCUCAUGAAUGCCAUAUUUGUGGCAAAAAGUUCAUUCAGAAGUGCAACCUCAACACACAUAUCCUUACACACACUGGUGAAAGACCUCAUGAAUGCCAUGAGUGUGGCAAAAAGUACAUUCAGAAGCGUGACCUCAACACACACAUCCUUACACACACUGGUGAAAGACCUCAUGAAUGCCAUGAGUGUGGCAAAAAGUUCAUUCAGAAGCGUCACCUCAACAAACACAUCCUUACACACACUGGUGAAAGACCUCAUGAAUGCCAUGAGUGUGGCAAAAAGUACGUUCAGAAGCGUGAACUCAACACACACAUACUUACACACACUGGUGAAAGACCUCAUGAAUGCCAUGAGUGUGGCAAAAAGUACACUCAGAAGCGUCACCUCAAUAAACACAUCCUUACACACACUAAUGAAAGACCUCAUGAAUGCCAUGAGUGUGGCAAGAAGUUCAGUAAGAAGAGUACCCUCAACAAACACAUCCUUACACACACUGGUGAAAGACCGGGAGGCCCUGCUAGCAGCUGGGCCAACAUUGCAUCUGAGGUCUCUGAUUGGCCCAUGAGCCAGCACGUGUAUGAUUGGUCCGUCGCUUCAACUUCCCUUCCCCCACAUCACCACGACAUCACACAUAAACAAACCUUUUCAAGCAUGCCGGGAAUGGAGCAGUGCAGGCAAGCUUGGCAGGGUCUAGCCCCUGCCCCUGCCCCAGCAGAGCAACAACAGCCACAAGUGACCUGUACUGCUGGGGAUCUAGCCCCUGCCCCAGCAGGGCAACAACAACAGCCACAAGUGACCUAUACUGCUGGGGCUUUAGAGGCCACACGUGAUCCCAUGGCCUAACCAACCCCCGAAAAACACUGAAGAAGAACACCUUUUGGCCCAUCACUCUAUACUUACUGAGUUUACUUAGUAAUGUCUAGAGGCCAAUGCCUCAGUCGUUCUGCUAAUGUUGAAGAAAGAGUAGCCACCUCUUUUGAAGCUAAUAAUUACAUUAUGGAUUCUACUUUGGUUCCUGAAUGCAGUGCAGUAAAGAAUGACUUCUGGAAAACAGAAGAGGGUGUUGAGGAGGGCAAAGUCCCUCCAUCAAGGGGGGUCAGGAGGGGCAAGCCCCCUUGUGAAGGAGUUCCCCCCCGUUAGGUAGGUUAAGUUAUGUUGGGUUAGUUUAAUUUUAUUUGGCAUGCAGGGCCGGUGGAAACACACAGCGUGGGGUGGAGGGGCAGCGGUGUGUGUGGUGGUGGUGGGGGGGGGGGGGCACUGCACUAGCCAGUGACAACAGGUGGUAGCAGGUGCACCUCAGGCACUGAAGGCAAUUAUUUAGUGGUUUCCAGAAAAUAAAAUUUAUUCAUAAGAAAAGCGUCAUAAAUUUGCCUAGAAACAAACAGUCGGUGUCUUGAAAUUAGCAGGCUACCCUUUCUUCAACAAUCCCCAAAAGUUUUUGGAAAAAGUUCUAUAAAAGUUUUUUGGGUUAAUAUUCAUUUGCAUAAAGUGUUAUUUUGGGUUCAAAAUGCUCACAGUGGUGAGAUCUAAAUAUCUGUAAUAGUAAAGAUUGCUCAUCCCUAUACACUUGUAAAAUAAAACUAUUUUGGGCGGUAACAUAAUUUCACAGGUCAGUUAAGGGAGACAAUGCAGGUUUUUUGUUUAUUGGAUUAUCUCAACGAAAUUUUCAAACUAUGUAUCUCAUUAUGCUACAUAUUUGUAUGGAAUAUUAUUGCUCUAUGAUCGAUAGUUUUUUAAAAGUAUUUUUUCUCAGAAAACUACUCGAAAGAAGGAUUUCUAGACAUUAUUGAAGUGAAUGCGUAGAAGACACCAUCAUUCAAAAUCCUUUUUCCUUUAUAUAUUGUGUACAUUAAGCAUAAAUCUACAUUUGGAUACAUCAUAGAGUUGCUACAUAUGUUUGUAUUAAGGCCCGUCCACACGAUCGAGCAGUGCCCUCGAGCACAGGCGAGCGGUCUGCCCGUUGACAUGUUUACCGCUUGUGCCUGCUGAAAAACUACUAGGUUUUCAGCGGGCACAUGCAAGUUUUUCAGCAGGCACAAGUGGUAAGCCCGUCAACGGGCAGACUGCGCGCCUGUGCUCGAGGGCACCGCUCGAUCGUGUGGAUGGGACUUUAUAGUUAUGAUUUUUUCUUUUCUUUUUUUACUUUUUUCCCCUUUUUUUCUAACCUUGUCUGUGACCAACUCUUGAGACAAAUAUUCAUAUCCAUGCAUCCAAAUGUAGAUUAUACUAUGUUCUAUUAGAAAAUGGAAGCAGAUUGGCAAUCAGUGUUAUGAAAUUCCUUCCACAUUGAUUUGAAGUCCGUAAAAAUUAGUUUUGAGAUACAGGGCUUUUUAUUCAAACAUCUUAUAUUUCCUCCUCCUGCCAUUUAAUGAUAAAAUUUUUACAAAUCAAGUUUUAUUGACUAAAUUAACUCUAUAUAACACAAAUAAUAGGCAUAAUUAUAUAUACAAUUGUUAAUUUCAGUCACCAAGGUGGUGUUAAGUCCAUGUCACUAGUGGCAAUCCUUUUCCGGCAGGCAAAAUGACAUUUUGAUCAUCCUCAGUAGGAGGUGGUGCAGGUGGCAAUGGAGCAGGGCGAACAAAAUGCCAAUCUAGAGUGGAGCUUACAGUUGAAAGUAGCACAUGGUGGAGGAGUGGAUGGUGGUACAGGUAGUGGUGGUUGUGUAGGUGGUGAUGUAGAGGUAGAUGAAGGAGGAGGAGCAGUGGUGGGAUUCAAUUUUUUUAAGAACAGGUUCUAUCACUCCAAGACUCGCUAACAACAGGUUCUUAUAACUUAUAAGUAAAAGGUGUUCAUGGGGGAAAAAUUGAGAACACCUGAUUUAAGCUAACAGUAACAACCGGAUCUCGGGAUUAAAGAAAUUCCGAGAACAGGUUCUUGCGAACCGGCUGAAUCCCAUCACUGAGGAGGAGGUGGUGAGGAAGGGGAGGCAGUGAUGGUGAAAAGCGUUGCCAUCAUCGGUGUCCUUAGUCCUCGCUUUCCGCUGCUGUUUCUGCCUUUUCUUUGAUGGAGGCAUUUGUUGGUAAGGAAAAAAAGAGAUGUAACACAAGAAUAAUGCAACAAAUAAGGGAAAUAACAGAUUUUAUAUGCAGUAAUAUUCAUCAGGACCCACUGACCACCCCUGGCAAAACCCAGGGUACGACUGAAGUUUCAAGGUCGCUGCUUGCUUGGCGUCGCUGCACGAGUAGCCAGAGUGUAUUAUCCCAAUGCUUUUUACUGCAUUAUUCUAUUUUCAUUAGUAAAGCAACAGUGAUGAAAAUAAUGGGAUAUGUUAUAUUGACCGCGAAGAGGAGCGUAGAAAAUUAAAGAACUUGACGGAUUUAAAGGGCUCUAAGCUUUUCGCCGGAGUUUAAAUAGUCCCCCGAGGCAUCGCCCCCACCUUACGUUUUCCAAAAACACAAUAUCACAGAAAGUGAUGUUUUUCACCAAAACUGCUUGCAUCGCAUCCCUUAAGAUAAAAUCAGACCUUAAUUUUACCUUUUAAAUUAUGACGCACUUAAUAUUAUCUUAAAUUUAAUGGUCUUUUAGACUAAGAUAGGUAAGGUUAGACUGGUCAAGUAAGGUUACUCCCAGUACACUGAAUCUUGCCUCAGCUUCUGUUUAAGUUCAUUUUCAUGAAUGUGAAGUCAGGCUAGCGGGAAUUUGUUGAUGGUCUUGAUUGGGAUCAGGGGUGUAGAUAAAGUUAGCGGGCAUACUGUAUGUAUCUUAAUA